rnacentral:rRNA from 1 species
AGAGUUUGAUCCUGGCUCAGGAUGAACGCUAGCGGCAGGCCUAAUACAUGCAAGUCGAGGGGUAUAUGGGAGCUUGCUUCCAUAGAGACCGGCGAACGGGUGCGUAACGCGUAUGCAACCUACCUUUAUCAGGGGGAUAGCCCGGAGAAAUCCGGAUUAACACCGCAUAAAAACACAACUUGGCAUCAAGUAAUGUUCAAAUAUUUAUAGGAUAAAGAUGGGCAUGCGUGUCAUUAGCUAGUUGGUGAGGUAACGGCUCACCAAGGCGACGAUGACUAGGGGAUCUGAGAGGAUGACCCCCCACACUGGUACUGAGACACGGACCAGACUCCUACGGGAGGCAGCAGUAAGGAAUAUUGGUCAAUGGAGGCAACUCUGAACCAGCCAUGCCGCGUGCAGGAAGACUGCCCUAUGGGUUGUAAACUGCUUUUAUGCCGGAAUAAACCUAUCUACGAGUAGAUAGCUGAAUGUACGGUAAGAAUAAGGAUCGGCUAACUCCGUGCCAGCAGCCGCGGUAAUACGGAGGAUCCAAGCGUUAUCCGGAUUUAUUGGGUUUAAAGGGAGCGUAGGCGGCCUUUUAAGUCAGGGGUGAAAGACGGUGGCUCAACCAUCGCAGUGCCCUUGAUACUGAAGGGCUUGAAUGUAGCUGAGGUAGGCGGAAUGUGACAAGUAGCGGUGAAAUGCAUAGAUAUGUCACAGAACACCGAUUGCGAAGGCAGCUUACCAAACUAUAAUUGACGCUGAGGCUCGAAAGCGUGGGGAUCGAACAGGAUUAGAUACCCUGGUAGUCCACGCCCUAAACGAUGAUAACUCGAUGUUAGCGAUAUACCGUUAGCGUCCAAGCGAAAGCGUUAAGUUAUCCACCUGGGGAGUACGCCCGCAAGGGUGAAACUCAAAGGAAUUGACGGGGGCCCGCACAAGCGGAGGAGCAUGUGGUUUAAUUCGAUGAUACGCG